GUGUGUAGUGGGGGACGACGGCCGCUCCUAAGGUUUGGGUCGCCAUCCCCGCCCCCACCAGGGUGACGCCUGGCCUCCCCGAGCCCAAGGUGAGAGACUAGGUCACGCCACUGCUGCUGGUUCGUGUUUGCUAUCCCAGCACUACUGAACUGGACUGCUGGUAUAUUUGUGGUGUAUCUGCGAGUGGAUUGAGCUGCUGCUGCUGCUGCUGCUGCUGCUGCUGACCUGUGAACUGAACGGCUGAUUUCCUGACAAUGCAGAUUGGAUUUGCUCCAAAGAACAAUUUUUAAACAGGCCCAUUUUCCCUGUAUCCUAAUAACCUUUCUUUUCUACAACUUCCGGUGGGUGUUGGUUAGAAAGAAGGUCAAAGCACUUAAGAACAAUUAUUAAAAUUAGGCUUGAGAAAAAUUUAAGCAUACACACAUGUACUGUGGCAUAUACGAUCAUGUGACACACACAUACCUGUAAUAAAUGAAUACGUUUUUUUUUAAAAUUAAAACAGUCAACUUUAAGUUG
ensembl:processed_transcript RIKEN cDNA 2010320O07 gene